rnacentral:lncRNA from 1 species
CCGCCCCCAGCCGCCGCCUCCCGCCCCUGCGCGUGAACGUAGCGGCUUCCCACGCGCUGUGGGGUGUGAGGACCCCAGUCGCUGGGCUGCCAUUCUGGAGCGCCACGAGAGGUGCUACGGGCGAGCGCGAGCCCCCGAGGGCGGCUGGAAGCCCCGGACUGUUGGUAGAGUGGAAGGGGAUAGAGAUCGGUGGGGCGAGCGUCCUCCGUGGCCAGUCCUCCCCUCACCGCCCUUCCUCAGAGGGGCGCUUCCGGCCACGUCUGCAGCAGCUGGUGGCCACCAAUCCCCCUGAGCUGGUUGUGCACUGUUCGACCGCCACCUUCUGCCUCCUGCCAGAUGUGGGGGCUGCAGUCACCGAGCUGUGUGCCCUCUGCGGUGUGGGCCCACCACAGCCUCGGUCCUGGCAGCUGGAGCUCCAGAGAUGGAGGCCUUCAUGUCAGAUGAGGCGGUGGCCACAGUGCCCGGCUGGCCGGCCCCACAGUACACCCUCAGCCAGUGCCUCAGGACAGUGGACUCCCUACCUAGUGGAGACAGCACUGUGGACCUGGGCUGUGGGGCAGAGGCUGUGCCCAGACCUGCUGCCCAACCUUGGCCCCAGCCUGGCCACCCACGAGGAUGCUAGGCCAGCCAAGAAGCAUGGAACCCAGGCCGAGUAAACUUGGCCAUGGCCCAGGCCUGCUCACCUGCCACAGAACCUCAGGCCUCCGGGUCUCACUGGACGGCAGGGAGGCUGAAGAGGAGGCUGGCCACUACGGGAGCUCAAUAAACACUUCCCAAACUCACGCCUGAUCACACACCCGGCCUGACCACACACCUGGCCUGACCACACGCCCGGCCCCCAGCCAUCCCGCGUGCCCCCAGCUCCCACAGACACAGCACCUGUGGCCCAGGAACAACUCCCACGCCUGACCCCAGGUGCAGAGAUGCACAAGGAGGGAAGUCCAGGCCCCCGUGGUGGGGAGGGCCGUCGCGGUCUGUGCAGCAGGUGUGGGGGCCCUGACGAGUCUCCAGAGCCCGGGACAGCCCCCUGGUGCUGUGUAAAAUAUUUAUUAAUUAUCCAAAAAGGCUCA